UCGGACCUUGUAUCUUAAAAGUGUACUUGGAACAGCCGAACAAAGUGGUAAAUUUUGUUACCUCGUUUAAACUGGCUAUGAAAUAUCCUGAAUACUUCGUCGAGUUCUCUACCGUCAUGUGACCUGUAGUUUAAUGUGGCACGCGUCUUUGAAAGGGCUUUACUUGACUUUAAUCGACGUGUAAGGUAUAACUUAGGUAAGCCAACAUUUCUUUGUAAUGCAAGCUACAUUUUCAUAUCUUUAAUGUGUGAAUAUUUAAUUUUGUAAAAAAUUAAGCCCAAUAUGUUGUUGG